rnacentral:rRNA from 1 species
ACUCCUACGGGAGGCAGCAGUGAGGAAUAUUGGUCAAUGAGCGAAAGCUUGAACCAGCCAAGUCGCGUGAAGGAUGAAUGUCCUAAGGAUUGUAAACUUCUUUUAUACAGGAAUAAAGUUAGCCACGUGUGGUUAUUUGCAUGUACUGUAUGAAUAAGGAUCGGCUAACUCUGUGCCAGCAGCCGCGGUAAU